GGAAGAUGUUAUCAUGUGCAGACUAUGAAAAGUUAAAAAAAUCUUCUCAAAGCUUGUCUAGAUGUUGAUCAAGUUAUGGUGGAUUCUUCGUUAUUAUGUGAGAUCAAAAUCAAGAAUAUGAUGGUUAUAAUUAGCCGCGCUCUCAAGGUGAAGGUUAGAGUACUGAAGUGUCCCUUGAGAGAGAAUUAGAGGCCUCCAUAAGUGUGGUAUUGAGAGACCAAAAUUGAAAGCCAUUUGUGAGAAAGUAAGUGUGAGUUAUUUGGGUGUAAAAGGGGUCUUUGGAUUUGAGAGUUUCCAUUUUGAUAUUGUAUUUGCUCAUGGAUGUAGGC
rnacentral:misc_RNA from 1 species